AUUGAACGCUGGCGGCAGGCCUAACACAUGCAAGUCGAACGAGUGGCGGACGGGUGAGCAAUGUCUGGGAAACUGCCUGAUGGAGGGGGAUAAGUACUGGAAACGGUAGCUAAUACCGCAUACCAUCGGAUGUGCCCAGAUGGGAGUAGCUAGUAGGUGGGGUAAAGGCGAACCAAGGCGACGAUCCAUAGCUGGUCUGAGAGGAUGACCAGCCACACUGGAACUGAGACACGGUCCAGACUCCUACGGGAGGCAGCAGUGGGGAAUAUUGCACAAUGGGCGCAAGCCUGAUGCAGCCAUGCCGCGUGUAUGAAGAAGGCUUUCGGGUUGUAAAGUACUUUCGGCAGGGAGGCGUUACCCGAAGAAGAAGCACCGGCUAACUACGUGCCAGCAGCCGCGGUAAUUC
rnacentral:rRNA from 1 species